rnacentral:lncRNA from 1 species
UCAGAAUAUAUCAUACUGUUACAGAACUACCAGAUGAAGUGAUGAGGAUAUUUAAAUGGCUACUUUAACAUCCAAGAUAUAAACGGAAGUCUACUAUCUUACCACUGUAAAUUGAACAGGCAGGAAAACAUCAAUAGAAACUGCUCUAGAACCAGACUGGAGAACUUCCAGGACCACAUAAUGAUUAACUCAAAUAGAAAUGGACACAAAAAGAUCCUGGGAAAUAGCGAACGCAGCAGAAGCAGACAAGAGUGAAAGUCUAUGACAUUUUCCACAUGCUUACACAGUUGCAAAGUUCAGCUUACUGGAAAAGACUCACUUGUAGGAGAAACACUUGUUAACUUCAGCUGUCAAAUUGAGGUAAAAAACAAUUACAUUUCUGCUUUCCUCUCAGAAGGUACAGCUCACUACCAAGAGCAAAGAACUGUCAUCUAAAUUAAAUUUGGAUUUCCUAAUCUAUAGAAUUCUACCAUGGCUCAUUUCAGAAAAGUAAAAAACUUUGCCACUUCUCUGCGAUAAAAGCGAAGUGCAAAUAAAGGAUUUGGAGUUACUGAUAUUCUGAUGCAUUAGUGACUUGAGUAAGGCAAAGAGUAGCAUCAAGAGCAUCAAGCACCCAACAGCUCAUUUCAUUAAGCAAUAUGUUUAUACAGAAAGCUCAUGCACACACUUACCUGACGGAUUGAAAUCUUGGAAGUAGUCAGGACAAUGCUGUACUGAUACAGUUCCUGCAGCAACAUCACUCCAGCACAACCAGCCAUCCCAUGUCCUGUUACAGUAAGGACCUAGAAACAAGUGGACAACUGGUAAUAAAAUAACAACUCUUCUUUCACAGUAGUCUUUCAAAACGGAGUUAUAACACUGGACAAGUAGAACAAAUCCGUGGAGGUCCACCCAAUCUGUAUUCUGCCUAGUGUCCUUUGACCUACAUGGAGAUGCACAAUAUGAUGUGAAGAAAAUGCAUUCAGUCCACCAGUAGCAUAUUCCAGCAGCCAGAUCUUGCCUGCUACAGCACAUCCAUCUCUCACAGUUCAGGCAGGAAGGGCCACCCACUGCCUCAACUAACACCACUUUUUCAGAGGGCUUAUCUCAAUUUGGUAGCUGGUAUCAACUCUAUCAGAUACACAGCAAUUAACAGGUUCCGAAGGCCAAGAUCUGAGUUGCCUACUUAAUUCAAAGACUGAACUGCUACUGAAGCAAGAGGGCUGCUGUUGUCUGAGUAUCUUCAGGCAAACCCUCCUCCUGACUCAAGGCACAUUUGUCCUUCGAUCAUACUUGUGCUUGUUUUUGGAUGUUUUUUUUUCUUCUCCAGCAUUACAACCUACAAACAAUUGGUGCAUGAGAAACAAGUGAUAGUACAUGGCCCAGCUCAGAGAAUUUUACACAGAGAUGAUAAUUCUAAAAUACCUCAUUCACAAA